GCCAAUCCCAAUUCCAGUGUACUUCGAGUCAUUGAGAGAACCCGAGUAUUGGGUAUGUGUAUAGCUGGUGAGGACAACAUCCUGAACAAGGUUGGGAACAUAAGCAGGCAGUAUGGCCCCAUCCCUUAUUGCGGUCAAAUUUAACUUGCAUUUGGCUAGAAGGUUUGGGUAGUCUGAGAACUGAGGCUCGGUUCCUGGUACUGUGUUGGCACAUGUGGUGUUUGUACAUGGUUGAUUUUUGAACUGGUCUGCAAUUUCUUCAGCGAUGCACUCUGCUUUAUCAUUCUCUGUGAGAGCUGGCAAAUUUAGAUUUGCCCUAUAGCUGUUGAUGCCUCGAAAAAGAGUUUCUUCCUCGUCUGAUUGAGAAUGGUGAAGAACAAAAUUAGUGCAAAUACAUAAUAAAAGAAUAGUUGGAAAAAUAGUAGUAUCUGUCCCGAUUUGAGAUUAUGCAAUGGAUGAAAUUAUACUCCCUCUUCUGUGCUUUGCAAUUGAACUAUCUUUACUUUAUGAGGAGAACCAAGUUUAGAUUUCUAAAGAAAAAUACGUAUACAUUUAUAUACCAUACAUACUUCAACAAAGAGGCAGCUCAUGUCUUCAGAAAGUAUAAAAGAUACCAUUGUUCAGAAAAAGUAAGAUAUAGUAAAUCUUUUCGAAAUGAAUUCAAACUAAUCAUUCACCCUAUUACUAGAAUUAUGAAAGAACAUGAUACAAAAUGAAGUGUUCAAAUUACCUCCAUCCAGGAUCGUAGACGUGUUUGUGGUCAAAAUGACAACAAUCCAGUUAUCAUCAGAGCCAAUCCCAAUUCCAGUGUACUUCGAGUCAUUGAGAGAACCCGAGUAUUGGGUAUGUGUAUAGCUGGUGAGGACAACAUCCUGAACAAGGUUGGGAACAUAAGCAGGCAGUAUGGCCCCAUCCCUUAUUGCGGUCAAAUUUAACUUGCAUUUGGCCAGAAGGUUUGGGUAGUCUGAGAACUGAGGCUCGGUUCCUGGUACUGUGUUGGCACAUGUGGUAUUUG
rnacentral:lncRNA from 1 species